GGACUACCAGGGUAUCUAAUCCUGUUCGCUCCCCACGCUUUCGCUCCUCAGCGUCAGGUAAGGCCCAGAGAACCGCCUUCGCCACCGGUGUUCCUCCCGAUAUCUGCGCAUUUCACCGCUACACCGGGAAUUCCAUUCUCCCCUACCUACCUCUAGUCUGUCCGUAUCCACUGCAAGCCAGGGGUUAAGCCCCGGGUUUUCACAGCAGACGCAACAGACCGCCUACGAGCUCUUUACGCCCAAUAAUUCCGGACAACGCUUGCGCCCUACGUGUUACCGCGGCGGCUGGCAC
rnacentral:rRNA from 1 species